rnacentral:rRNA from 1 species
UAAGACGAACUGUCCUAACGUUGUUCGGAAUCACUGGGCUUAAAGGGCGCGUAGGCGGUCCAUCAAGUCAGGGGUGAAAUCCUGCAGCUUAACUGUAGAAGUGCCUUUGAUACUGAUGGUCUGGAGGGAGAUAGGGGUGUGUGGAACUUCCAGUGGAGCGGUGAAAUGCGUUGAUAUUGGAAGGAACGCCGGAGGCGAAAGCGACGCACUGGAUCUCUUCUGACGCUGAGGCGCGAAAGCUAGGGGAGCAAACGGGAUUAGAUACCCCGGUAGUCCUAGCCCUAAACGAUGAGUACUAGAUUGUAGACUGAUCAUGGGUUUACAGUCGAAGCAAAAGUGUUAAGUACUCCGCCUGGGGAGUAUGGUCGCAAGGCUG